GAUUUUCUUAGCUCGCACAGGAUUAGAAUCAGCGAAGCGGUUCGACAUCCCGAGCACCGCGAGGGUGAACGUGCUUCAGCACGGCCCGCAGGGUGAGCCUGUGAAACAGGCGAAUCAUCCAGCACGACCCACCA
rnacentral:sRNA from 1 species